rnacentral:rRNA from 1 species
CGCGGCCUAUCAGCUUGUUGGUGGGGUAAUGGCCUACCAAGGCUUCGACGGGUAGCCGGCCUGAGAGGGUGACCGGCCACACUGGGACUGAGACACGGCCCAGACUCCUACGGGAGGCAGCAGUGGGGAAUAUUGGGCAAUGGGCGGAAGCCUGAUCCAGCAACGCCGCGUGAGGGAUGACGGCCUUCGGGUUGUAAACCUCUUUCAGCACAGACGAAGCGCAAGUGACGGUAUGUGCAGAAGAAGGACCGGCCAACUACGUGCCAGCAGCCGCGGUAAUACGUAGGGUCCGAGCGUUGUCCGGAAUUAUUGGGCGUAAAGGGCUCGUAGGCGGUUUGUCGCGUCGGGAGUGAAAACACCGGGCUUAACUCGGUGCUUGCUUUCGAUACGGGCAGACUAGAGGUAUUCAGGGGAGAACGGAAUUCCUGGUGUAGCGGUGAAAUGCGCAGAUAUCAGGAGGAACACCGGUGGCGAAGGCGGUUCUCUGGGAAUAUCCUGACGCUGAGGAGCGAAAGUGUGGGGAGCGAACAGGAUUAGAUACCCUGGUAGUCCACACCGUAAACGUUGGGCGCUAGGUGUGGGGUCCAUUCCACGGAUUCCGUGCCGCAGCUAACGCAUUAAGCGCCCCGCCUGGGGAGUACGG